UUAUAAGGUGAUCUCUCACUAAAAUUUCAAGACGAAAUUGUGUUCUCCCCGACUGUGCACCAUUGCUACAGUACGUCGUUUCGAGAUACCACGUGAUGAUCGGGUGUGAUAGACUCAACGUUCACAUACAACGGGUGCAAAAGAGUUGCACACGCGGAACACUCGAGUUAAGCUUGACGAGCCUAGCAUGUGCGGACAUGGCCUCGAAACACAUGAGACCGAAAGGUCGAUCAUGAAUCAUAU
rnacentral:lncRNA from 1 species